AAACAAUCUGACCAGUGACUCAUGACAGCCUGAGGCGCUACCGACAAAAUACUUUACCCGCGGCAAAACUUGAGUUAUACAUCAAAACAGGACAAACGAGAUAAAUCCUUUUACUCCACCCUCUCUCUUUCUCUCUGUUUAGAAAGUGCUCACAGUACACAGAAGAAUCAAUAGAAAGAGAAAGUAAGGCAGCCUAGAGCAGGUGCAAAGGAUUCUGUCAAGGAGGACACAAGCUCCUGUGUGAUCUUUCGUCUGUUGCCCUGGGAGAGCAGCUCUCCUUUCACCCAAUGCAGGGAUCAUCUGUCAGUGGCUGUUACAUGAAGACAUGUGACCUGAGUCUGUCUGCCUAUUUCAGACCAUUUUCUGAUCAAAUCGGGGCCAUCACAACAGUCUGCUGAGGGCCCCAAGCACCCAUCACCCUGAACCCCAGCAGGCCUGUCACACUGUCUCACUACCCUGAUCCUGCUCCUUCUCCUCCUGCCGGCCCCCCUCAGCCCUUCCUGGAGCCCCCAGGGGCCCUCAUUCUCCAUGGAGAGCAGG